rnacentral:hammerhead_ribozyme from 1 species
AUUCGGCUGACGAGUCCCAAACGAGAUGAAACGUGCAUCCUGGAU